CGAAGGAACCUUUCCUCUUCUGCUGUUGUCAAGCAAACUCGACUUGGAUGUCGAUUUCACCAGCUGAACGCAGUGACGUCUUUUUCAGGUGUUAGCUGUCAGGGGACGGGAUAAUACGAGAAGUAUGCUCGGAAUUAAACAGCGGCGAGGACUUUACACCCUUUUUACGACCACGGCCUGCGAGAGUAGCUAAUUCAAGUGUCAUCUCUACGGGCGUUAGACGACAUUUUCCAUGGAAGAUCAAAGAAUUUGAGCUUCCGAGAAACGGUCGUAGGACUAGCGUCGUAAAUCAGCCCCCGACCCACAAUAGUGAGGUGACAUCAAAGGCGCGUAGAGCCACGUUCACAUUUGGGCCAGAGCAACACAGGACACCGAACCUUUAUACACGCUGCCUGGAUUUUAAAACUUGGAGAAUGUCAGAAUAAAAUCUCGGCCCAUAACGCGCAAGAGCACGAAGGAUCCCUGCUUGAUUUGGUUAAUUACAGAGAACAUAAACCAGCGCUGAUUUACUAUCGACACAGCGUAAUAAAUCUCUCGCCUUUCGACCAAGCAUACAUGGCUUGUUUACUCACAAGCUUCCGUCAAGGAUACAGAGCAUGGAGACUGGUUUCUUGAUAUCAGUGCUGAGAAAGGAUGUAUCAUGUGAGUAUGUUGCGAACAAAAGAAUAAAAUCAAUUUCACUUAAA
rnacentral:misc_RNA from 1 species